rnacentral:misc_RNA from 1 species
CAAUGAUUGUCUUUGUGGAAACCCAUUGAGGACAUGCUAAUGAGCAUCGAUCGGCCGAUGGGCCUUAAAAGUGGUGGGGUUUCGUUUCGGCCGAAAUGUGGGGUUGAUUAUUGUGUCUGAAGUGUUAUUAUUAAGGUGAAAGUGAGUGAUGUUGUGGGGUUUGUAGAUUUGAUUAAUGUUAAUGUGAUGUAAUAUUUAAGAGUUAAUUACAAGUUGAAAUGGACAAAGAUAAGGCAGUUGCAUGCAUGUGGAAAAACAGCAUAAGCUUUUGUCACAUACUGUGAGAUAAGAAGAUAAUGUAGCACAUGCUUGCAUAACGCAUGGGCAUUGUUGAAAUAAUUGUAAAAUAAUACAUUAAAAAAAAAUAAAUAUUAUUUCAUGCCAAAAUAUGCCGUGAUAAAGAACGCUUUGAAAUAAUGAAGUCAUUGCAAG